AAGAAAUUAAGAAUAGAAAAAGCUGCUAACUAUUUUCUAAAGCGGUUAAAUUCCGUUUAUUUCUUA
rnacentral:tRNA from 1 species